GAUUGUGUGUGUGUUCUCUCUCUCUCCAGGUCGAGACAUGGCCAACACAACCCUACCGGGUUAUCCCCCUCACGUACCCCCCACCGGCCAAGGCAGCUACCCCACCUCAACACUGGCCGGAAUGGUUCCUGGGAGUGAGUUUACAGGAAAUCCUUACAGUCAUCCACAGUACACAACCUACAACGAGGCAUGGCGAUUCAGCAACCCAGCGUUACUAAGUUCCCCUUAUUAUUAUAGUGCCACAUCCAGAGGUUCCGGACCACCUACUGCUGCCACGGCAUAUGACCGCCACUAGUUACCAUGGAAACCAAAUCAACCACCACCACCUACACCACGACUACAACCAUGGCUUCGGCAGCGUCCAUGUUGCCCCGGUGUGAACAGAGGGCAUGAGGGGAUACCGUUAAGACAGCUAACAGGCCGCUCCAUUUCCUGUAUAUCACACUACUACACACAACAGAAGAAGAACUGUCCUCCUGGAUACCACACUACUACACACAACAGAAAAAUACCUGAUCGUUCAGGAUACCAUGCAGACAACUUCCCAUCAACCAUGAAUUUGGAUAACUUCAAAGUAGUGAAAAAUGUAAAAUUCUUCGUUCUGAUCUGCGUGACUGUACAUUACCACUAGAGACUUUGAAAGACUAUAUAUACGUGAUACUACUGAGGUUACUGAGGUAAAAAAAGAAAAGUAAAAGUUUUGAAAAUGACAAGGAGGAAUUUGUAUCUUUUCCUUUUUGUAAUGGUCCUCCGUUUGUUUUUCCUCCUUCAUGGAUCAAAACGUUCCUUUACUUGACUGAUCUGUCGGCUGACGGAGGAACCCGUCCUGAGCUGAGAGUCCAGAACAGUAUAGUAGCAGGCUGUUGUUCCCUUCCUUCUGCAUCGGUCUGAACAUUCUACUCAAAGGGCAGUGCAAUGAGAUCCAUGCGUCAAUGCGACUAAGGCUACCGCGGCUUGGUUCUACUCCUCUAUUACAAACAAGCGUACAGUCAUUUUGUAACCAACCAAACGUUCAGCAUGAUUAAAUGAAUCAGUUGCUUUUUUUGAUGAUGAUGCCAGGAGCAGAUUAUAAGGCGGUGUUCUCUGUGAUACACAAUCAGACGGGAAAAAAAGAAAAGAAUAAAGAAAACGCUGAAUUGAUAAAUGAGAAGGACAUUGUGACAUACCGUGGUCUUCUAAUUUACAAGAUUUAAAAAAACCCUAGUAAAUAUAUUCUUAAAGAUUUUUUUAUUUUGUUUUUAUAAUUGUUAUUGACAUCUUAAUGAAUUGCAGAUAAUAUGCUUGACUUUUUGUUGUUGUCAUUUUUAUUUGUCAGGAUACUAGAAAUAAUCAGGCAGAAUCUAUUUUGUAUUUGUUUUUAAUUUUGCACUAUUUUUGAGUUUUGACACACUGGGAGCGCUAUUAUGCAGACUUUGACCUGGAGGUUUGACACACUGGGAGCGCUAUUAUGCAGGCGUUUGAACCUGGAUGCCUAUUUGUCUUGUUUUACAGUAUAUUAUUAUUUUUGAAGAACCGUUCAAAGGAAGAAGAAACAUAUAACCAUAAGUUCAUCAUAACCCUUUGGUCUGGAAAGGCAUUUCAGAUGUCGCUGCUUUCUGUUGACCGUUUCAUUGACUUCCCAGUAGCAUUAUGUCUGGAGAUGCUUCAGUAACACUACUGCAAUUCCCCCAGUUUGUCUCUACCUUAUGUAGUACGCUACUAUCCACACAUACUUAACCCGUCAAGUUAGCUAGCUAACAUUUUAAGUUUGAACCUAAGUCUUUGGCAUUAAGAUAUAGUAUAACAUUUUAUCAAUUAACUAUUUUCUGUGACUAACUAAUUUAAUCAUAAAAUAGUCAAGUAUGAUGGUUAUUUCUUGCAUCCUGAAUGGCACCCUAUUCCCUUUAUAGUGCACUACUUUUGACCAGAAAUAAUGCACUACGUAGGGAAUAGGGUUCCAUUUGACACGCAGACAUAGUAUAGUUAGUAUAGUAAGUUAAUUAUGAUGUGGCCAUCAUCACAUAAUGAUGUGUCAACAAAAGUUUCAACUAAAAGCAAAGGCAAAGAUUUCAGUUAAUGCCUUAAUCAUAUGCAGAUUUUUUUUUCUUCGUCAAGGUUUCAACUUCCUGUAUUUGUUUGUUUUUGUUUUGUCGUAAGACAUCAUGUGACUUAUCCAGCUGGUUUGUCUUGAAAUCACAGCGGUAACACCAACCUGGCUGGAAGAAUGGAAAAACGUGAUCAAACAUUAUCUUACAUCGUUUUACUGUCAAGUGAAUGUAUUUUUACCACAUUUGCCAAAGACUUUAGUUCUUGUUUUUCUAUCUACAGCCUGCAUACGUCUGCAUUGUGAGAGCAGUAUUAUAGGAAGAAAAAAAACACAAAUUGUCCAUUAUGAAAGUACAUGUAUCAAUUCUAUGCAGAGCAGAGAAGGUCUUCAUUAUUAUGCAUAUUUAGCUGUAAAACCCAUAGGAAGGUGAUUGAAUUUAUUUAAUGUUAUGUUAUUUACAAACUGUUGAUUUAUUUGUAGAAUAAUUUGUGUAUAAUGUGAAAACACUGACUUUCACUCUGUAAAUACAGUCAAAUAAUAUGUACAUCUCUGAUCAUCCGUAUUAUGCCCUCUCAUUCACUGGAGUCUCACUGGUACAGUUCAUUAAUAAAGUGUCUAAACUCUUCUAAA